GCUCCGUUGGUGUAGCCCGGCCAAUCAUUCGGGCCUUUCGAGCCUGUGACCUGGGUUCAAAUCCCAGACGGAGCA
rnacentral:tRNA from 1 species